UGGAACGCUGCAAGACGAGAUAUGGCACAAGUUGUUAUGUGUGGUUGAAGAUGUGGAAAGAUUUGGGCAGAGUGAAUGGGGGAAUGUAUAAUGUAAGAUCUGUAUGUAAGGUUAGUGAAGAGAAUUAUGUGAAGACCUUGCUGCAGAGGCUGUUUAAUAUGGUUCUGAUAGUGUCGGGUUGCUGAGCUUCAUGUGAGGAAGACAGCGGUUAGUGAAAAGGUUCGAGUGGAGUGAAGGAAACUGAGCUCUGGAAGACGAGAUAUAGUACAAGUUCUUUAUGGAAGGUCACAACUAUGGAAAGGUUUGUGUGGAGUGAAGGAAACUGAGCUCUUAAAGAUGAGAUAUAGUACAAGUUCUUUAUGGGAGGUUACAACUAUGGAAAGGUUUGUGUGGAGUGAAGGAAACUGAGCUCUGGAAGACGAGAUAUAGUACAAGUUUUUUAUGGAAGGUCACAACUAUGGAAAGGUUUGUGUGGAGUGAAGGAAACUGAGCUCUUAAAGAUGAGAUAUAGUACAAGUUCUUUAUGGAAGGUCACAACUAUGGAAAGGUUUGUGUGGAGUGAAGGAAACUGAGCUCUUAAAGAUGAGAUAUAGUACAAGUUCUUUAUGGAAGGUCACAACUAUGGAAAGGUUUGUGUGGAGUGAAGGAAACUGAGCUCUGGAAGACGAGAUAAAGUACAAGUUCUGUAUGGGAGGUUACAACAAUGGAAAGGUUUGUGUGGAGUGAAGGAAACUGAGCUCUGGAAGACGAGAUAUAGUACAAGUUCUGUAUGGGAGGUUACAACAAUGGAAAGGUUUGUGUGGAGUGCAGGAACGUGAAAAUCUUUGUGAGGCGGUACAAUGCAAGUUUUUUUUAUAUAAAUCAAGAUCUGUGGAAGGAUUUGUGAAAUGUAAAUGAAUGUGAAAUUCCUAAAGACAAGAUAUGCCACUUUCUUAU